rnacentral:lncRNA from 1 species
CUCUCAAGUGCCUCUGAGAAGCUGAUGGAGGAGAAGCUAGCUGCUGCUGCAGUUCCCUUUUCUGAGGAGGAAGUCUUCGCCCCCUUUUCCAGACUGGCAGUAGACCCCCAGCUGAGUAGGUCAGUUGAAGAUGGCUUUCUGUCACCCAUCGUCUCCCAGUCUAGAAAGAGCAAGAUUCCGAGGCCAGUAUCCUGGGUCAGCACAGAUCAAAUCAAUAGCUCAGCUUCACCUCAGUUCUUGCCUCGGCCGCCACCGGGAAAGCCACCAGUAAGGCCUGGAGUAGAAGCCAGGUAAUGCUUUAUGCUUUCCAUGUGUGUAGUGCGUAGUGAUGUGUUCAAGUGUGCUGUACUGCGUCACAGCAGUGGGUGCAGUUCCUUCUUUUGAACUUGUUUUCUUCUGUCCCUUCCACGGUGCACCCUUAGGGCACGGUACAGAUUUAUUAAGGACAGUGCAUUUUGUUUCCACUGAGGCAAAAUAAAACAUAAAAUUUACCAUCUU